CCUACGGGAGGCAGCAGUAGGGAAUAUUGCUCAAUGGGGGAAACCCUGAAGCAGCAACGCCGCGUGGAUGAUGAAGGUUUUCGGAUUGUAAACUCCUGUUGUUAGAGAAGAUAAUAACGGUAUCUAACGAAUAAGCACUGGCUAACUCCGUGCCAGCAGCCGCGGUAAUACGGAGGGUGCAAGCGUUACUCGGAAUCACUGGGCGUAAAGAGCGCGUAGGCGGGAUAGCAAGUCAGAUGUGAAAGCCUAUGGCUUAACCCUAGAACUGCAUUGGAAACUGGUAUUCUAGAGUAUGGGAGAGGUAGGUGGAAUGCUUGGUGUAGGGGUAAAAUGCGUAGAGAUCAAGAGGAAUACU
rnacentral:rRNA from 1 species